CCCUUAGAUGCUCUGGGCCGCACGCGCGCUACACUGAACAGUUCAACAAGUCUUAACCUUGGCCGAUAGGUCUGGGUAAUCUUUGAACGCUGUUCGUGAUUGGGAUAGACCUUUGCAAUUAUGGGUCUUCAACGAGGAAUUCCUAGUAAACGCAAGUCAUCAGCUUGCAUUGAUUACGUCCCUGCCCUUUGUACACACCGCCCGUCGCACCUACCGAUUGAAUGGUCCGGUGAAAUCUCGGGACGGCGGCUUGGUCGCUUGCGUCCGACUGCUGAAACUUGAUUAAACCAUAUCAUUUAGAGGAAGGUGAAGUCGUAACA
rnacentral:rRNA from 1 species